AAAAACACUUGCCUGUUGUCGCUGUAUAUAUAUACUGUCUCCCAAAAAGUGGUCCAUGUCCACUCACAGCACUGUAAAUAUGGGGAAUAAGAAAAUACUGUUGGUGAUGCUACUCGUCUUCAUGAUGGCCCUUUCUACUCUAUGCGUAGCUGUUCCAGUCGCGGCAGCAUUUCCAAGGCGCUGUGAAUUCGGCAGAUGUGGAUCAGACUCCACGAACGUGAAUGAAAACAAAGCCACCGUUAACCCAGUUAUCUCGGUUUCCUAUAUCUGAAAGAAGGUAUGAUCAUGGUUGGGCAGUCAGCGUAGUCGGAGAAAAACACAUUGUCAUUGGUGUAAGACAGUGACUUUACCGUUUUAAUAAAGAUACGUUAAAGAAA
rnacentral:lncRNA from 1 species